UGAACGCGAAGAACCUUACCAGGUCUUGACAUCCCGAUGACCGGCAUGGAGACAUGUCUUUCCCUUCGGGGACAGCGGUGACAGGUGGUGCAUGGUUGUCGUCAGCUCGUGUCGUGAGAUGUUGGGUUAAGUCCCGCAACGAGCGCAACCCUUCAUCUUAGUUGCCAGCAUUCAGUUGGGCACUCUAAGGUAACUGCCGGUGACAAACCGGAGGAAGGUGGGGAUGACGUCAAGUCAUCAUGCCCCUUAUGACCUAGGCUACACACGUGCUACAAUGGACGGUACAAAGGGAUGCGAACCCGCGAGGGGGAGCCAAUCCCAUAAAAUCGUUCCCAGUUCGGAUUGCAGGCUGCAACUCGCCUGCAUGAAGCCGGAAUCGCUAGUAAUCGUGGAUCAGCAUG
rnacentral:rRNA from 1 species